AGUCUUAUUCUUUUUUAUAAUAUAUUUGUAGGCAAUAAACUUUUGGAAUUGAUAGUUUCUGAUACCUGGGGAUGUACUUGGUUUCGCUAUUAGAUACAUUUCAUUGAUAUUAGUAGAUUUACAUGGUAUUUUUCCAUGGUAUGCACUUGUGUUUUGUCAAAGACUUAAAUUGAACAUUGAGAAUAUCUUCGAAUGUGUAUAAUCAAAUGUAUUCAAGCCACUGGUGGUGGUCAAUACAGGAAAUUCAACAGUGUUUUUUAUUCAUUGUCUUUUUUUCCUUGCUUUUUACCCUUUGUUUCGGGUUGAGAAGUUUCUAGAGAUUUUAGAGGUGUAUUGCUGUGUCUGCAUAAGUAUAAUCAUCAGUCUUAAUUUCCAACUUGUAUUGCUGUGUCUGCAUAAGAUUUGAGUAUUUCUGUGUCUGCACCCAACAUGAAGCUUGUAGUUGGCUGUAAAUUAUCGAUCAUGAAUAGAGUAUUAGAAUGCAAAGAUCCACUUGCCUCUAGAGACAUAGGAGUUGUCCUGCUUCCAUAUCAUUGCACACAUGUGGCAUACACUGACGAAAAUGGAACAGUUUAUUCAGGCAAAAAACAAAAAACUAAAUAUUCAUUGUACUUGAAUUCCAUAGAAUAGUGAUAAUCUCUACACAAGAUGGCCCUAAACAUGUACACAAUCAGACUGAUCAGAUUGGUUGGCGGCCCAUAGGUAUGGUUUGGGCCUAUCAGGUGGAUAAUCUGCAAAUGGAUCCCAAACAUGUGGCUGAUAAGUGCAUUGCUCAAAGAACUGUUCGUGCCAUCUAUGGAUCCCAAAUUCUGUUUGUAUAAAAUAGAACUAAUAACAUAAGUUUAAAUAAAAUUCAGUAAAUUUCUUUAGAACAACAGCCUAUUUAAAUAAAGAUACCAUUAGGGAUUCUAUUAGAUGACUAAAUCGUCAUCGCUUGUGGGGUGAGCAAUAAUGGUGCUUGUUUCAUUUCAAAUUUCAGGCAAAAUUGCAGAGAAAAAUAUGCAUGACAUUCUUGUUCAAAGGGAGCAAGCAGAGAGAAAUAGAUUAGCAGAAACUCUGGAUGCUGAUGUUAGAAGGUGGUCGAAUGGAAAAGAAGGGAACUUACGUGCAUUGCUCUCCACUCUGCAAUAUGUAUGCAAGAUUGUUCUGCAGUUGCUAAUACUUAAAAUUUAUUAUCUCUGUAACUGUUUUGAUUACUGCUGCUUUGAGCUAUCAUUAUCUAAUUGCGUUGGCACAUGUCACGUGUGUGACUCCAAGGUGGUCCAUGUGAUGAAAAAAAAAAAACCCAUGCCAAACAGAGGACCCUUGUCAGAAAUACCCGAGCGAAGUCCAUAUCCAUCCCCAUAUGAAGCAGGAAAGCCCCCAUCAGGACUACCAAGUUUUACCCCAUAAGUGCCACCAGCACUCCAUGGUCUAACAUCGCUUUUGGAAGUCCUCAAGUGGAGAUAUGACCAAUCUACAUUCCCUUCAAGGAGAACAUCUCAGGAUGAAAUAGAAGUAGAGCAAGCUGCAUCUUCUGCUGCUCAAGAUCAGUGAGUUCCCUCCGCCUACAAUCAAUUCAUCAAGGAAGAGAUUCAGAGGAUCAAGGCCAACAACCCUGAGAUCACCCACAGGGAAGCAUUCAGUACUGCAGCUAAGAAUGUG